AGUCACUGACAUUAGAUACCCGCGUAGUCCCAGCCGUAAACAAUGUGCGUUAGGUGUGUCGGUAACCACGCGUUACUGAUGCGCCGAAGAGAAAUCGUGAAACGCACCACCUGGGAAGUACGGUCGCAAGGCUGAAACUUAAAGGAAUUGCGGGGAGCACCACAACAGGUGGAGCCUGCGGUUUAAUUGGAUUCAACGCCGGACAUCUCACCGGAUAGGACAGCAGAAUGAUUGCCGGGCUGAAGACUCUGCAUGACUAGCUG
rnacentral:rRNA from 1 species